UUGGACCAUAGUUCCGCCUGGAACUAUUGUUAAAUAAUGCUGAAAGCUAGCACCGCAUCGCUGCACUUCUUAACGCAGGCAGGCAUGAGGUGCUGGCCUUUCUCUUAGCAAAUCUUGUCAAGCUUACACUGUGCACUCGAAUUUAAGAUUACAAAAAAAAAUAUUUUGGCAAUAUCUGAUGAGCGGCCUCGUUCUAAGGGUUGCUCUGGGAAUCAGCGGUAAGUUGCGGAGAACCUCUGCCCGCCAAGCUGUACGUUUGUGAUCACGUUAAGCACGGCUACGACGGGACAUGCAUUGUCGACGGAGGCGACGAUCACAAAAUCCUAAUCCCGGACUCGCCGCUACGAUUUAACACCAUGUUUUUGGCAUCGCAUAAAACCGUAGUGUUGUGCAUCUCCCUACUCAUCUCUGUUUAUACUGUGAGGAAUUGAAUUUCAGUGUGUGAGCAACUGUAAGAAAUUAUUGAGUUAUCGAAAUAUAGUGCGCUUAUAAUUUAUAUUUGUAACAUCUAGUUUUCAGAAACUUCCUUAUGGUUCGAGCUUGUUGUGUUUUGGGAUGCCCUUCCCGGGGUAAUAUUCCGAUUUAUCAGUUUCCGAAAAAUCCUGCUAUCGGCAUUUUAAAGACAGUGAUUACAUUCUGGGACAUCGCUUGCGUAAACUUAAAGAAAAUGUCGUACCAUCAUUAAAUUUACCUGCUGUCUAUACUUCCAGUGAAGAAGCUGAUAAGGAAAAUGUUAUGUCUGUAAACUCUUCCGAUCACAUUGAAGCAGACCUUAAUGUGCAGGAAAAUGUGAUGUCGGUAAACCAGUUUAUACCAUAGUGAGUGAAUGGCAUACGCGCAUGGCAGCCCAUGGUAUAGGCUUUGAUAACCGGUCAGUGUUUAGUCAGUAUUAGUCUCGAGAUCAAGAGUCGAUUAUUAUUUACUUAAUUUUUUUGUAUUAAUGAACUAUGCUUAUUGGAUCUAUUAAUUAACUUAGAAUGUAUCAAAUACAUGAUUAUGUUAUACUUUAUACAUUUUAUUAUAUUAUGACAUCGUGUCUUUGUAUUUGGCAAUACCAUAUACAAAAAUCAGAUAAGGACAACAUAUAUUAUAAUAUGGGAAACAACAAUUUAUUAGUAUAAUGCACUUUCAUAGAAAUAUAUAUAUAUAUAUAAACACACACAGCCAGAGAUCUACUCUGGCGAAUAAACGUAUAAAAUUUUUAUAUAAAGUGUGAGGUUAAAUUACAAAAAAAAAUUAAUUCCAUAUAAAAAUAUACUAUCUAUAUAUAUUUGUUCAUUGGAAUGGAAUUUGCGAGAUAAAAAUUGAUCCCGCGAUUCACAGGCUGUUUUUUGGUCUCAAGAAUUUAUCUGAGUUUUAUGUUAGUGUGGAAUAAUGUAAAAUAUAAAGCAAUGCAAGUGAUAUUAAUGUUAAUUAUAAUUAUCAAUUUGAUGUGUAUUAAACUGUGUUAAAUUAAUUGACUAUAUAUGCGCAUUUAAAUUUACAUUAUUAUUAUUAUCACUUUCUUGACAUCUGCUUGAGUUAGUGAAAAACAAAUGAGUAUGAAAACAGUUAAAACAUUGGAUGCUUGCACAACUCCCGAUUUUAAUCUCUAUUUUUAUGCGAAUGAAGGCAAAUUAAUAAAAUGUACUUCUGUCAUGGCUGUCAUUAAAGUGAUAAAUCAUAAAAUUUGAAAAAUAAUUGGUACAUGAAUUAUAGUGAAAUUUACAGCUUAUUUUGAACCAUGUGUAGUAAGAGAUUACACAGGAUGACAAAAGUUAAGUGAUAAGGCAAAAUAUGCAAAUAAUAACUCCACUUUAACCACACACAUAACAAACUUUAUAAGGAUAAUUAAAAAAAACAAUGAUCAAAAAAUUAUAACUAAACAACAUUAUUUCUUAAU